rnacentral:rRNA from 1 species
AACGAACGCUGGCGGCAUGCCUAACACAUGCAAGUCGAACGAGAUCUUCGGGUCUAGUGGCGCACGGGUGCGUAACGCGUUGGAAUCUGCCCUUUGGUUCGGAAUAACAGUUGGAAACGACUGCUAAUACCGGAUGAUGACGAAAGUCCAAAGAAUUAUCGCCAGAGGAUGAGCCCGCGUAGGAUUAGCAAGUUGGUGUGGUAAAGGCGCACCAAGGCGACGAUCCUUAGCUGGUCUGAGAGGAUGAUCAGCCAAACUGGGACUGAGAAACGGACCAGACUCCUACGGGAGGCAGCAGUGGGGAAUAUUGGACAAUGGGGGAAAGCCUGAUACAGCAAUGCCGCGUGAGUGAUGAAGGCCUUAGGGUUGUAAAGCUCUUUUACCCGGGAUGAUAAUGACGGUACCGGGAGAAUAAGCUCCGGCUAACUCCGUGCCAGCAGCCGCCGUAA